GGGCCAUGGGCGGGGCCUUGCUGGGCGGUUGCCUGCCUGGGCAACCUGGAUCAGGGCCUGAGCUGGACUCAGAACAGGACCUGGCACACAGGCUUUACAUAAACAUUCUUCGAAUGCAUGCAGACCGGAGACCCAUUCCUGGAUCAAGGAGGCCUGCUCUCCCAUGCCUCGUUGUGGCAUAAGAGACUCUGAGCAAGGUGUGGCCUUGUUUCCAUGAUGCCUCAGGUUCCGGAGGUCAGAAGUCCAACACAGGUCUCUCUGAGCUUAAAUCAAGGUAUUGGCAGAGUGUGUUCUUCUCCAGAGGCUCCAAGGGAGAAUCUGUUCCUUGCCCUUUCCAGCUUCUGGAGGCUGCCCACAUUCCUUGGCUGGAGGACCCUUCCUCCAUCUUCAAAGCCAAAAACAGCAGGUCCAGUCCUCCUAAUGUUGCAUCUCUCCGACCACAGUGGGGAAGGUCUCCACUUUAAAGGAUGCUGUCAUUACACUGGGCCCACUUGGUUAACCCAGGAUCAUCUCCCAUCUGAAGGGCCUCAACUUACUCCUAUGUGCAAAGUCCUUUUGCCAUGGAAGGUGACAUAGUCACAGGGUCUGCGAACCCACUUGUCUCAGAGGGCUGUAUUCAGGCUUUCUCUUACUUGUAGCACAAACAUCCCAUGACUUCAGUUUCCAUCCCCCC